CAUGCAGUCGACGAGAAAGUUUCCUUCGGGAAGCGAGUAGAGUGGCGCACGGGUGAGUAACGCGUAGGUAAUCUACCCUUAUAUUUGGGAUAACAUUGGGAAACUGGUGCUAAUACCGGAUGAUGUUCUUCUAUCGCCUGUUAGAAGAAUCAAAGAUGCUUUUGUAUCGCACAAAGAUGGGCCUGCGUUCCAUUAGCUUGUUGGUAAGGUAACGGCUUACCAAGGCCACGAUGGAUAGCUGAUCUGAGAGGGUGAUCAGCCACACUGGGACUGAGAUACGGCCCAGACUCCUACGGGAGGCAGCAGUAAGGAAUAUUGCGCAAUGGAGGAAACUCUGACGCAGCACCGCCGCGUGGGGGAUGAAGCACUAUGGUGUGUAAACCCCUGUAGACAGGGACGAACGAUAUAUAUUCGUAAGGGUAUGUAUGUGACGGUACCUGUAAAGUAAGCACCGGCUAACUCCGUGCCAGCAGCCGCGGUAAUACGGGGGGUGCAAGCGUUGUCCGGAAUUACUGGGCGUAAAGGGCGUGUAGGCGGCUUAUUAAGUCAGAUGUGAAAGCCCACGGCUUAACCGUGGAACUGCAUUUGAAACUGGUAGGCCAUGCAGUCGCAUGCAGUCGCAUGCAGUCGCAUGCAGUCGCAUGCAGUCGA
rnacentral:rRNA from 1 species